UACAGAGGUCCCAAGCGUUGUUCGGAUUCAUUGGGCGUAAAGGGUGCGUAGGCGGCGCGGUAAGUCGGGUGUGAAAUUUCGAGGCUUAACUUCGAAACUGCAUUCGAUACUGCCGUGCUUGAGGACUGGAGAGGAGACUGGAAUUUACGGUGUAGCGGUGAAAUGCGUAGAUAUCGUAAGGAAGACCAGUGGCGAAGGCGGGUCUCUGGACAGUUCCUGACGCUGAGGCACGAAGGCCAGGGGAGCAAACAGG
rnacentral:rRNA from 1 species